UCACCUCCCUGCACCGUAGCUCUGGCCUCAGGGCCCAACCCCAGUACAGAGCCCACCAGCCUGGCCCACAGGAGCAAGGUGAAUAGAGACCACGCAUCCUCCACAGCAUGGGGAACGCCCUGCUGGCUCGACCUCCUCACUUGCUCUCUCAAGUCUGCUGAAAGAAGAGCCACCAGAGAAUUCCCAACAAGAGCCCCUCUGGCAUGCGGGCAGUGUUUCUGAUCUCAAAGCCAUCUUUCCACAUAGUUCCUCCCUUCCUGCCCACCCCCAUCAGGAGUUGUUUAUUUCUCAGAACUAAAUGCCACGAUCCUUCUCAGCUACCUUGGCAGCAUUCUGUCAGAAACCAGUCAACAAACAGAGCAGGGAAAAACAGCACCCCGAAGACAGCAUUCAGGACCCAGCCCUUUAGACAAAAGGGAUCAGAUCAGGUCUACUAGAUGGCCUCAUUCAGUCAGACACACCCAGUUAAGCAGCCCUGGAAAGGGACUCUAGAGAAUGCUAGAAGUACUGUGAAGCUCGCAGAUGGCCUUGUGGACUUUAGCACUUCAGGUGAGAAGACAACAGUCUCCCAGCAAAAUGUUGCAAGCAGCACAGGCUCAGGAAUGGACAGACUGGCAGGCAAGACACAGCAAGAAGGCAGCAGUCUGCACACCAGGAGGAGAGUCCUCACCACAACUCAGCCCUGCCACACCCUGAUCCUGGACUUUCAGCCUCCAGAGCUGUGAGAAA
rnacentral:lncRNA from 1 species